AUACUAAGUAUACUACGUUUAC
rnacentral:miRNA from 6 species